UACGUAGGGUGCGAGCGUUGUCCGGAAUUAUUGGGCGUAAAGGGCUCGUAGGCGGUUUUGUCGCGUCGGGGAGUGAAAAUCCACUGGCUUAACUGGUGGCUUGCUUUCGAUACGGGCAGACUGGAGGUAUGCAGGGGGAGAACGAAUUCCUGGUGUAGCGGUGAAAAUGCGCAGAUAUCAGGAGGAACACCGGUGGCGAAGGCG
rnacentral:rRNA from 1 species